CUACUGGGCUUUUACUGACGCUGAGGCUCGAAAGCAUGGGUAGCAAACAGGAUUAGAUACCCUGGUAGUCCAUGCCGUAAACGAUGAUUACUAGGUGUGGGGGAGCUGACCUCUUCCGUGCCGCAGUUAACACAAUAAGUAAUCCACCUGGGGAGUACGGCCGCAAGGUUGAAACUCAAAGGAAUUGACGGGGGCCCGCACAAGCAGUGGAGUAUGUGGUUCAAUUCGAAGCAACGCGAAGAACCUUACCAGGUCUUGACAUCGAGUGACGAGUCUAGAGAUAGGCUUUUCCUUCGGGACACGAAGACAGGUGGUGCAUGGUUGUCGUCAGCUCGUGUCGUGAGAUGUUGGGUUAAGUCCCGCAACGAGCGCAACCCUUAUCAUUAGUUGCUACGGAAGAGCACUCUAAUGAGACUGCCGUUGACAAAACGGAGGAAGGUGGGGAUGACGUCAAAUCAUCAUGCCCCUUAUGACCUGGGCUACACACGUACUACAAUGGCCGUCAACAGAGGGAAGCAAAGCCGCGAGGCGGAGCAAACCCCUAAAAACGGUCCCAGUUCAGAUUGCAGGCUGCAACUCGCCUGCAUGAAGUUGGAAUUGC
rnacentral:rRNA from 1 species